CUCCGAGCAGGUAUGCGGCCCCACCCCGGGCACCAACCAGCACGGUCUGCACACCGCGUCUGUGGGUCUGGGGCAGAGGUGGUCUGAGGAGCCCAAGGAAGAGGCAGCUUGAAGCCAACCUGAGAGCCCUUCAUGUCUCUUCUGGAGAGACGCAAACAGACCAAGACAGUACUCAACUGGAAUUUUCUUAAAGGUUUCCUAAGCACAAGGAACACUGAGUGGUGUGUCCAAUUGAACAGGAGUAGCUUGGGCUCCUGCCUUAAGUUGAACUUUUAAAAAAAGAGGUUAUUUAACAUUGCAUGACAACUUAUUUACAGUUUAAAUAGAAAUUUUCAAUAAUCAAAAUACAUCUUUAGCAAAAAUUUAGAAUGUAAAAUUUUAUAAAAUACCCAUAGAAAAGCAGAACAUAGUAUCAGUACCAUUUCAGAUUUAGCAUAAGAUGAAGGUCUUCCUUCAACACUGGGACCCGCCAUGGAUGAGCAGGGUUCCUACAGGUAAGAAGAUUCCCUCCUUCUAACAAGCAAUUUACCUUCCUGAUUUGGACUGUUGUUAUAAAAUGCUGACCCAAAAAGACUCCCCAAGAUGGACACUAGGACAGUAACAGCAAAGCCUCAGGAUGAAGUGGCCUGACCACUUGGCCACCGUGAAGCCAGGUCACUGCAGCUGAGGCUCAUGCCUUGCCCCCCUCUGCCAGCCCUUGGAUACCGAUGCCACCUGCCACGGAGCAGAUCACCGUGCCUCCCGGGCCCUUGGCACCCGCCCUGAGGCCACCCAGACCCCGACGGGGUCGGUCACUUUUUGGCCUUGUGACUGUGCCCAUCUUGAGGAAAACUCUUUUAUUCGUGUGGCUUGUUAAAAAGUAAGAAAGGAGUAGCGGUCAACUUUGGCCAAAACAAAAAGCUUUCAUGCGCGUGUCCAGCCCCGUCUGGCUCCCCUCGCAGGGCUGCUCCCAGCAGGGUCCCCCGUGGAGGUAUCCACGUGUGCGUGCGGCCGUGCUGCCGUCUAGAUCACGAACGAGGACUUGUGUCUGAAGUCGCCCUGCAAGGCCAACACUGGCUUAGAGGGCAGCCCGCGGCCACGCAGGGCCCAGUGUGCGGUGGGAAGGGAGCCUGACACCGCUUCCCCACAGCGGGCUCUGAGGAGAGGCCGCGAGGCCUGUGGACUGAGUGCCCCGCGAGCGCACAGCCAGGGGAAGGGCUGAGGGCUCGCGCUUCGGAUGUGACUCAGAAAUCUCUUUUACGGACCUGCUUGGUUCUCAGGGGAAUGUCAUCUUCCCUGCUCGGGACACUGCAGCCUCUAGGCUGCCUUACCUCAUCGUCCGUCCUGAUGUAGUUAACUCCAUCCGGCUUCCCUGGGUUCUUGUAGCUGAAACAGAGGGGAGCCGAGUGACCACCAGUGGACCACAGAAAUGCCCACUGGUGCUUUGUGCAGGUAGGACAGGCUCACCUUUCCCCGUUCUGCUUAUUGUUGAUGAAGUAGCCACGUCUGUAGGCACAGCAGAUGCCCACUGUGAUGAGGGCCAGUACAGUCAGGACAACCAGGACUCCCCCAAUAAUCCCGCCAAUGUUGAGGUCAUCUGGAGAAGAGAAGGGGUCAGAAGACACGGCCUGCCGCCCCUGCCCCUCCCGGCCCGGAACACCUCCGCCCACAGGCCACGACACCCACCCGCUGCGCCAAAGCCGUGUGGCACUGCCUGCGGGGCAUAACAAUCAUCUGGGGACAUUAUUACUGGACGACAUGGUUAUACUACAAAGACAGCUAGGAGCCAGAGUCCUAAGGAAGAAAAAAUUCUGCCUUGUCUAGUACAGCAUUCUUGAAUACCUACAUGGGCCUUCUUGUCAUUCCUCCCUCCUGCCUGGUACCUUCCCCUGCAUGAUGGCAUGGACAUUCUGGGUACAGUUACCAACCAGCCAAGCAGCGCUCCGCACCGGGGAUGCACCACACUGUGUUUAACCACUCACCCACGGAAAGGCAUCUGGGUUGUUUCCAGUUUGGGGCUAUGAUGAAUAAAACUGCUGUGACAUUUGUGCACAGACUUUCGUAUGAACAUAAGUUUCCUUUUCUCUGGGACAGAUGCCCAAGAGCACAAACCCUCGUCGUAUGUU